UACGUAGGUGGCAAGCGUUGUCCGGAUUUACUGGGCGUAAAGCGCGCGCAGGCGGUUUCUUAAGUCUGAUGUGAAAGCCCACGGCUCAACCGUGGAGGGUCAUUGGAAACUGGGGGACUUGAGUGCAGGAGAGAAGAGUGGAAUUCCACGUGUAGCGGUGAAAUGCGUAGAGAUGUGGAGGAACACCAGUGGCGAAGGCGACUCUUUGGCCUGUAACUGACGCUGAGGCGCGAAAGCGUGGGGAGCAAACAGG
rnacentral:rRNA from 1 species